rnacentral:rRNA from 1 species
UACAGAGGUCUCAAGCGUUGUUCGGAUUCAUUGGGCGUAAAGGGUGCGUAGGUGGUUAUGCAAGUCUGGUGUGAAAUCUCGGAGCUCAACUCCGAAAUUGCACCGGAUACUGCGUGACUCGAGGACUGUAGAGGAGAUCGGAAUUCACGGUGUAGCAGUGAAAUGCGUAGAUAUCGUGAGGAAGACCAGUUGCGAAGGCGGAUCUCUGGGCAGUUCCUGACACUGAGGCACGAAGGCCAGGGGAGCAAACGGG